UUUCCGUAGGUGAACCUGCGGAAGGAUCAUUACUUAGUGCGAGCCCCUCGGGGUCCAACAUCCCACCCGGGUUUAACGAACCUUGUUGCUUCGGCGGGCCCGCCUCACGGCCGCCGGGGGGGAUUUGCCCCCGGGCCCGCCCCCGCCGAAGCCCCCUGUGAACGCUCUCCGAAGUUUGCAGUCAAACACAAUUAUUAAAUUAAUUAAAACUUUCAACAACGGAUCUCUUGGUUCCG
rnacentral:misc_RNA from 1 species